rnacentral:rRNA from 1 species
CAUUACUGAGUUAGGGUUCUUCUNAGCCCAACCUCCAACCCUUUGUUUAAUUUACCUUGUUGCUUUGGCAGGCCCGCCUUUCGGGGCCGCCGGGGAUGUUCAGUCAUCUCUGGCCAGUGCUUGCCAGUAGCCACUUCAAAUUCUUUUUAACUAUGUCGUCUAAACAAUUAAAUCAAAAUUUAAUUAAAACUUUCAACAACGGAUCUCUUGGUUCUGGCAUCGAUGAAGAACGCAGCGAAAUGCGAUAAGUAAUGUGAAUUGCAGAAUUCAGUGAAUCAUCGAAUCUUUGAACGCACAUUGCGCCCUUUGGUAUUCCGAAGGGCAUGCCUGUUCGAGCGUCAUUAUCAACCCUCAAGCCCGGCUUGUUAUUGGGUCCUGUAUCGUUAAAAGAUAGGCCCGAAAGAUAAUGGCGGCGUCAAGAUAGACCCCAGGUGCAGCGAGCUUGCUAAGCAUACACUGAGGUGGUCGUCUUGGCCUGGCCCAACCCCAAUUUUUCUAAGGUUGACCUCGGAUCAGGUAGGAAUACCCGCUGAACUUAAGCAUAUCAUUAAAGCGGAGGAAA